UGCAAUAGCUCAGUCCAUAGAGCAGGAGACUCUUCAUCUCAGGGUUCUGGGUUCAAGACCCAAGUUGGGCAA